rnacentral:rRNA from 1 species
GACGAACGCUGGCGGCGUGCUUAACACAUGCAAGUCGAACGGAAAGGCCCUGCUUUUGUGGGGUGCUCGAGUGGCGAACGGGUGAGUAACACGUGAGUAACCUGCCCUUGACUUUGGGAUAACUUCAGGAAACUGGGGCUAAUACCGGAUAGGAGCUCCUGCUGCAUGGUGGGGUUUGGAAAGUUUCGGCGGUUGGGGAUGGACUCGCGGCUUAUCAGCUUGUUGGUGGGGUAGUGGCUUACCAAGGCUUUGACGGGUAGCCGGCCUGAGAGGGUGACCGGCCAAAUUGGGACUGAGAUACGGCCCAGACUCCUACGGGAGGCAGCAGUGGGGAAUAUUGCACAAUGGGCGGAAGCCUGAUGCAGCAACGCCGCGUGCGGGAUGACGGCCUUCGGGUUGUAAACCGAUUUCGCCUGUGACGAAGCGUGAGUGACGGUAAUGGGUAAAGAAGCACCGGCUAACUACGUG